UUUAACACCUAAAACCCAUGCUCUUAUGGAGAGGCAUACCUCCUGAAAAGAAGAGAAUAAUAAAUCUGAACAAUAGCCUGUAAGGAGGAAAACAGAUGGUGCAGACAAAACACAGAUACAUACAUACUGUGUCUGCCACCAAUGACAUCACACUGCCUCCUUGAAAAGCUCAGAACACCACAAGAGUUCUUUCCUCUAGCAGUAGACGCUGUGCCAAGGAAUUAUGAGUUAAAGAGUCAGAGAAUGGUUCACCAUACAAAACAUUUUUCUUCCUUUCUUAAAGCCAGCUUAAAGAAUAAAAUAUCUUAAGAUAUUCAGAAGUACUACAACUGACAUUAAUUUUUUCAUAUAUUGGGGAUAAAAGAGUCAAAGAACAUCUCUAAUAAAAAACAGUACAAACGGUAUUUAUAUUUAGUGUUAAAAUAGAAACAAAAGUACAUUUAUAUAUGUCUUGGCAGGGCUUAAAAAUUCUCAUUUUCAGUUGAUCACAAGGUAUUUGGAUACAGGGAGAAUCUCCAAGCAAGCAUUUUUUCCAUGAUAAUCAAGCAUAGAGCAUAGUGUGACAGUAGUCUGUAUCUCCAGAUUUGAUGGCAGGGAGCUACUAAGAAUUUAUCACAUAUAUGUAGAUGCCAUCUCUUUCUCUUUUGGUCUUUUAUUGAUACCUUUCGUGAAGGCCCCUCCUCACCCUGCCACGAUUUCCUAUUUCUUGAGUCUCACCAUUCACAUCAGAAAGGCUGUGCCUUCCCCUUUCAGGGGCCUAAAACCCUUUCUCUCUUUGUAUGAAGGCCUGUCUGGCACAUUCAGUACUAAGCAGACAGCCAAAGUAGGCAUUCAGCAGAGAGUGGGCAGCCAGUGCGUGCUGACAUUCUUGGAAGCUUUUCAAAGGCCCCAAAGAUUUCAUUUCUUGGCGUUAGUAAUGUUUCGCAGCAUGAUGGCAGCCAUCACCACAUGCCUGCUCCUUCCCAGCACACAGAGGAGCCAGGAAACAUCGUAAAUUCACCACAAGCACUCGGAAAACUAAAAGUGAUCUUUCUAGUGCUUCGCUAAAUGUCUGGAUGCACUAGGUGUUAUUGCGAUGAUGAUCAUUUGUGAGAGAAAGAACGGCUGAUUGGAUGGAGCAUGUUUGUGACUUUACAUAAUUGUGGAAUUUGGGCUGUUGUUGUCCUUCCCCUAUUUUCUUCUUUAGAAAUGUGGACUUGAUCUUUCGGCCUCAUACUUUGCAUUCCUUUAUAAAUGACACACGUUAAUCAUCUCCCCACUGUGCUGUAGGCCUUAACCACGGGUCUUUCUCCAUGUGCUGAUUCUCUGCUGUAGAGCGGCCGUGCCAUGUUAAGCGAUCUGCCCUUUGAAUUUGUCACUCUCAUUCCAAAGAAAUAUCAACCAAACAUCACCCCAAAAGCAGAGACUGUCUUUCCAGUUAUGAGGUGGCCAGCUCAGGUGCUAUCUGUGACUCCCAUCAGAGAAGGGGAACGAACCUAUCUUCAGAGAUAUCAGCUCUCAAUCUGCCUUCACUGAUUCAAGGGGAAGACCUCUUGGAAUGUAUUCCUUUGGGUUACACACAAUCUACAUAGACAAUGACAUAAUGACAGCGAACACGGUUCCCAGCACCCCACCUCCCAGAAACAGGAAGAUGUGUCAAUCCCACAAAUGGUUUUCUCUUUGGCCUCUCAAGGGAGCUGGGAGAAACUCGUCUGAAACUCAAACCUGCCUCUGCCAUUAUUUUCCCUUAAACUCGAUCUAAACCUCAGGAGAUCUUCUGGAGUAUUCACUGAAUUCUAAUGAGAACUGAGCCCUCCAAAUAUUAUUCUUACUAUGUUUUGCUAAUAUUUUUCACUGGAAACACAUCAUACCAAGAUGUUUUGGACCGUUUUACUUCCCAGAUUAUUUGGAAGCUAAAGGGAGCAAACGUCCUGCUUCUGGGCUGAUCCAGAUUUUUCAUGAUCUAGCCAGGGGAGGCAAAGAUUCCAGGACAAGCCUUUAGGGAAGGCCAAAGGUUUCUGAAAGUAUCUGUGGACAAAUAAAUGCGAUGUUACUGGGCUACCUCCCA